rnacentral:rRNA from 1 species
ACGAACGCUGGCGGCAGGCUUAACACAUGCAAGUCGAACGCCCCGCAAGGGGAGUGGCAGACGGGUGAGUAACACGUGGGAACGUACCCUUCGGUUCGGAAUAACACAGAGAAAUUUGUGCUAAUACCGGAUACGUCCGAGAGGAGAAAGAUUUAUCGCCGAAGGAUCGGCCCGCGUCUGAUUAGCUAGUUGGUGAGGUAACGGCUCACCAAGGCGACGAUCAGUAGCUGGUCUGAGAGGAUGAUCAGCCACAUUGGGACUGAGACACGGCCCAAACUCCUACGGGAGGCAGCAGUGGGGAAUAUUGGACAAUGGGCGAAAGCCUGAUCCAGCCAUGCCGCGUGAGUGAUGAAGGCCUUAGGGUUGUAAAGCUCUUUUACCUGGGAAGAUAAUGACUGUACCAGGAGAAUAAGCCCCGGCUAACUUCGU